UUAUUAUUAUGAUGAUGAUGAUGAUGACGACGACGACGACGAUCAUCAUCAUCAUCGUCAUCGUCGUCGUCGUCGUCGUCGUCAUCGUCGUCGUCG
rnacentral:pre_miRNA from 1 species